rnacentral:rRNA from 1 species
CCACAACUGACGCUGAGGCGCGAAAGCGUGGGGAGCAAACAGGAUUAGAUACCCUGGUAGUCCACGCCGUAAACGAUGGAUACUAGGUGUGGGGGGACUGACCCCCUCCGUGCCGCAGUAAACACAAUAAGUAUCCCACCUGGGGAGUACGACCGCAAGGUUGAAACUCAAAGGAAUUGACGGGGGCCCGCACAAGCAGUGGAUUAUGUGGUUUAAUUCGACGCAACGCGAAGAACCUUACCGGGAUUUGACAUCCUGCUAACGAAGUAGAGAUACAUUAGGUGCCCUUCGGGGAAAGCAGAGACAGGUGGUGCAUGGUUGUCGUCAGCUCGUGUCGUGAGAUGUUGGGUUAAGUCCCGCAACGAGCGCAACCCUUAUUGUUAGUUGCUACGGAAGAGCACUCUAGCGAGACUGCCGUUGACAAAACGGAGGAAGGCGGGGACGACGUCAAAUCAUCAUGCCCCUUAUGUCCCGGGCUACACACGUAAUACAAUGGCGUUAAACAGAGGGAAGCAAAGCCGCGAGGCAGAGCAAAACCCUAAAAGGCGUCUCAGUUCGGAUCGCAGUCUGCAACUCGACUGCGUGAAGUUGGAAUGCUAGU